rnacentral:sRNA from 1 species
UGUUUAAUUAUGAAGCUUUAACCUAAUCUAAUCUUUAGAAUCCAAUUUAUUUGUAAGUUUUUUUUAGUCGUGAAUUUAUUAAAUAAAAAAGGUGAACGAUCUGUGUCCGUCUAGAAAGUUUCAUAUAGCACUAUAACUACACAAGAUUCGAACCUCUAUCUCAGUUUUCACAAAAUGGAAGUUAAAGUUCAAUUUCUCCCUAAAUCGAAAGUUCGAAUCAUAGAUCUCUAUAAAUUCGUAUUUCACGGUUUAUCUUUGGUUUACUGUAUCAAACCCAAUAUCAAACCAAAAUUAAAUAAACUUAACCGAAUUAAAAUCGAUUUAAGUUAUCCCAACCCAAAAUAAAUACCAAAUGUAAUUAUUUAACAUCAAUAAUAAAAUCUAAAUUCUAAUGGAUUUAGAAAGUUUUAAACAAUUACUAUAAAAAAAAGGCAAAAAAAAAAAAAUGAAUCUCCUUUCGUCUUCUUCUGUUCUUCCUCCUUCCCUUUUCAAAUCCCAGAUU